AAAAGCACUUUGAAAAGAGAGUGCAAGAGAACGUGAAACCGUUAUAGUGGAAGCGGAUAGAGUUGACGUAUCUUGUAUGUAUUCAGCCAAUUUUUGAGGCGAUUUGUUGGUUUGAAGUUCUGCAAAGUCUUCGGCUAACAUUGUUGUUUUUUGGAUUGGUGCAUUUGCAUACAGAGUGCGCCGAAUCGAUUGAAUUCGCUGUUUGAUGGUUGAAAAGAGGACUAGUUUUACUAGAAACCUGGUCUUCCGGAGGACAGAUAAAUUUGGUUGUAAAAUGAGGCUGGUUUUUCGUGGCGAGAAUUUUAAGUUAAGGUUGUUUUUGUACGACGCAUGCGUUUUGCAAUUAUGACUUUGGCUUGAGAUUUUUGUUGCUCUGCCUUACAUUCGGUGUUUAGUCGAUCACCUAUUUGACCCGUCUUGAAACACGGACCAAGGAGUUUAAGGUGUACGCAAGUCAUUGAUUGUUAAAAGUCAUAGGCGUAAUGAGAGUGGGACACUUGGUGUCUGUGAUGUGAACUUGGAUUGUUUCGACGAUUGAAGUGCAACAUCGACCCAUGACUAGAACUUGUUCUGUUGUGGAGUCUGAGCGUACGCUUUGAGACCCGAAAGAUGGUGAACUAUGCCCGAACAGGACGAAGUCAGAGGAAACUCUGAUGGAAGUCCGAAGCGGUUCUGACGUGCAAAUCGAUCGUCUGAUUUGGGUAUAGGGGCGCAAGACUAAUCGAACCAUC
rnacentral:rRNA from 1 species